CGUCAGACAAGCUGGACUACGCAUUGUGAAAUACGAUCACGCAGAGGCUUGACCAUGUAGAAACGCCCACAUCACCUGCCAUCACGUCAAUGCAACAAGCUUGUCAAAAGCCCGACCAGCGAGAAGCUAGAGGAGCGCAGCGUCACCGAGGGAGACGCUUUUUUGGCAAAGCAAACCAGUGGAAACGCUGCAGCCCAGCCCCACCUUUUAAAAUGAGGACGGGGCGCAAGGGAGCGCGCUGGAAGCUGGAGGAGAUGGGAGCGGUAGGAUGGGAAGCGAGUGGACUAAACUAGAUUGAACUGAACUGGGCAGGCAGAUGUUUUCCAUUGAGUCGUAGGGAGUGUAAGCAAUGUGGAAGAGACGCCUUAGAGAUGCCAGGACACACAACAUGGAAAGGUCAUGACGACGGCUUCCCUUCUCCCUUACAGUCUAACAACAUGAACCGCAAGCUCUUCUUUGAGUUUCAUGGAAAAAUAAGGAGCAUUCACUUGUUUUUUUUCAUAGUCACAUUCACAAACCAUGCUUUAAUUGUAUUGAACCAUCACCUAAUGGGAUGUUUAUGCCUUAAAUCAGUAAUUCUCAAACUGGGGUCCUUGAACCCCCAGGAUUCUCCAAAGCAUAGACAGGUGGGCCGAGAUAAUUUGCAAUAAUUUAUCACAACGUAUUAUUUUGAUAGUGCGUGACCUUUACAGUGGUGGCCCAACACAGGAGUGAUCAAUUUACAGGUUUUUCGACAUACAAACCAUCGUUUGGAUGGUUUUCUGCUUUGACCUGAGAGCAAAAUAAUGGAAUACACUGUAGCACUGCAUGGUGGUAGUAAACUCAACUCACUUCACAACCAGUAGCAACUUAAGUUAGUGAGCGAUUCUUCACAAAAAGCUUCGAGCUGUUUCAUGCCACUCCAAGAUGAAGACUAUUGUCAAACUAAACAUAAAAUAAAGAAAAUGUCAUGUUGUGUGGUUGGUUUUGGUGUGCCCUGCAACCCUUGAAGCAAUGAAUAUUUGAGAACAAAAACAGUGGCAAAGCACAUGAAAACAGACACUAAAACAAA